AAGAAACCCGCCAUAUUUGCAUUGCAGCAAGGAAUAAUAUAUAACACACACAAAAUGUGCAAAUGAAGGCAAAUCCCAACAUCUGAUUUAACAUCCACAAAUGACGUAGAGCAAUGUGGGAGAGAGAGAGAGAGCGUGAGAGAUGAAAUAAAGUUUUUGUGGAACAAAUGAGCAACUCUCCACACAGAUUGUAUUGGCCUGAAACAGGAUAUAUAUACCUAUGUAUGGAGAGAGAGUAAAAUUUCAUCUCUGCCUUCUUCGAAACAUAUGAAACAUGAUGUGAAAAAUCUUCUUUUAGUUACGCGCAGACUUUCGGAUUAAACGUGUUACACGUUUACGCCAGUGCCGUUUGUAAUUUGUGGAGCCCAAAAAUAGGCAACAUUUUUUUUUUGAAAAAAGAAAAAAAUAUAUAACUAAAAAAGAGUUUUUGUAU
rnacentral:sRNA from 1 species